UCCUACGGGGGGCAGCAGUGAGGAAUAUUGGUCAAUGGCCGGAAGGCUGAACCAGCCAAGCCGCGUGAAGGACGAAGGUGCCAAGCAUUGUAAACUUCUUUUGUCAAGGGACAAAAUCAGGCUCGAGAGCCUGACCGAGGGUACUUGAAGAAAAAGCAUCGGCUAACUCCGUGCCAGCAGCCGCGGUAAUACGGAGGAUGCGAGCGUUAUCCGGAUUUAUUGGGUUUAAAGGGUGCGUAGGCGGACUGUUAAGUCAGCGGUAAAAGCCCGGGGCUCAACCCUGGCGAGCCGUUGAAACUGGCUGU
rnacentral:rRNA from 1 species